ACUGGGCACAGUGGCCCAUGCCUGUAAUCCCCAAGGCUUGGGGGGCUGAGGCAGGGGGAUCGUGAGUUCAAAGCCAGCCUCAGCAAAAGUGAAGCACUGAGCAACUCAGUGAGACCCUGUCUCUA
rnacentral:sRNA from 1 species